rnacentral:rRNA from 1 species
GAUGAACGCUGACAGAAUGCUUAACACAUGCAAGUCUUUGGCGAAGCUGUGCUUGCACAGCCUAGCCAAGGCGGAUGGGUGAGUAACGCGUAAGGGACUUGCCCUGCAGUCAGGGAUAACAGACGGAAACGACUGAUAAGACCUGGUAAAGUCAGGCGGACUCAUGUCCAGCCUGAUGAAAAGGAAUGCUGCAGGAGAGCCUUGCGUCCUAUUAGCUUGUUGGUGGGGUAACGGCCCACCAAGGCGAUGAUAGGUAGCCGGCCUGAGAGGGUGGACGGCCACAAGGGGACUGAGAUACGGCCCUUACUCCUACGGGAGGCAGCAGUGGGGAAUAUUGGACAAUGGGGGCAACCCUGAUCCAGCAAUUCUGUGUGCACGAUGAAGGUCUUCGGAUUGUAAAGUGCUUUCAGCAGGGAAGAAAAA